GAGACUCGGCCUUUUCCGCCCGGGGAGCGCUGUGCUGAGGUGGACGCAGGCUGUGCGCCAAAAUGAUAAUUGGGCCGGAACGGACUGGCUUUCCAAAGAUGCAGGGGACUCGAGAAGCUUGUUGGGUCGCUAGGGCAGGGUCAGCUUUGAGAACCUUCCGGCUGGCAAGCGUGGCCGGCCUGAGGGGCCCCGUAGGUCACGGGACGGCCGCGUGCGGCCCCGGGCCCUAAACCCCGGCGCGCCUGGGCCGUGGCCCGGGGGACGGUUCCGUGCAGCUGCUGCCCGCGGCGAAGGUCGUUAGUUCCGCCGUCGGUGUCGUGUGGCCGUCCUGAGUGUCACCGUCAAUUAGCGUCCGCACCCCGAGAACCGCCGGUUGGACCCCGAAGGAAGCGGAGCUCGUUCUGAUGGGUGAUGGGAAGAUGACAAGAUGCCAAGUCCGUAGUGACGGUGAGUGAAGCCUUAUCGCAUGUCCUGCCGUGGAUUAUACCAAAAUUUCUCAGUCCUACUUGGAGGAACAGCUGUUUCCGGUGAUGUUCUGGAAACUACCAGGGCACCAACUUUAAAUAAAGGCCUGAGUUUUUUAGAGGGGAUUCCUUGAUAAUUAAAUAAAAUGCUUAAUUCAUGUGGAAA